CCUUUUGGACUUUUCUCUAGGUUUGGCGCUAAACUCUUCUUGUGAGCUCACUCCACCCCUUCUUCCUCCCUUUAACUUAUCCAUUCACUUAAAACAUUACCUGGU
ensembl:misc_RNA